UACAACCAGACGGCGCGGCUCACCUCAA
rnacentral:sRNA from 1 species